rnacentral:rRNA from 1 species
UACGAGGGGGGCGAGCGUUGUUCGGAAUUAUUGGGCGUAAAGGGCGCGUAGGCGGUGCGGUAAGUCACCUGUGAAACCUCUGGGCUUAACUCAGAGCCUGCAGGCGAAACUGCCGUGCUGGAGUGUGGGAGAGGUGCGUGGAAUUCCCGGUGUAGCGGUGAAAUGCGUAGAUAUCAGGAGGAACACCGGCGGUGUAGGCGGCUUGCUAGACCAUAACUGACGCUGAGGCACGAAAGCGUGGGUAGCAAACAGG